UACGGAGGGUGCAAGCGUUAUCCGGAUUCACUGGGUUUAAAGGGUGCGUAGGCGGGCAGGUAAGUCAGUGGUGAAAUCUUCGAGCUUAACUCGGAAACUGCCUUUGAUACUAUCUGUCUUGAAUAUGGUGGAGGUAAGCGGAAUAUGUCAUGUAGCGGUGAAAUGCUUAGAUAUGACAUAGAACACCUAUUGCGAAGGCAGCUUACUACGCCUAUAUUGACGCUGAGGCACGAAAAGCGUGGGGAUCAAACAGG
rnacentral:rRNA from 1 species